rnacentral:rRNA from 1 species
UACAGAGGGUGCGAGCGUUUGUCCGGAAUCACUGGGCGUAAAGGGCGCGUAGGCGGUGGCUUAAGCGUGUGGUGAAAGCUCAGGGCUCAACCCUGAGUCGGCCGUGCGAACUGGGUCACUGGAGCAUGUCAGAGGCAGGCGGAAUUCCGGGUGUAGCGGUGGAAUGCGUAGAGAUCCGGAAGAACACCGGUGGCGAAGGCGGCCUGCUGGGACAUCGCUGACGCUGAGG